rnacentral:lncRNA from 1 species
GUUCAAAUUCAGGGUUCUGCCUCACUGAGGAUUUCCCUCCACAGGAAAUUGUGUGGCUAAUGAUCUGGGCGUGCCUCUCUACCUGGCCGAGUCCGCCCUCAGCUUGAAAGACAGAUGGCCAAGGUGGAUGGAGCUGGAGGAGCAUUGCUUUCCCAAAUUGUGGACCUCAGGAUUUCUGCAAUAGAAUCACCCAACUGAAUCAGAAUUUCUAGAGCUCCAAGUAAAUGAGGGACUGAGUAGGAGCCAGCCUAAAUUCCUUGGAUUGAGUUCUUCAAUGUAGAGUUCUUCAUCCAUGGCAAGUAGACUACAUUUGUUCAGGGAUAAAGGGAGACUUGGGGAAUU